rnacentral:rRNA from 1 species
UACAGAGGGGGCAAGCGUUAUUCGGAAUUAUUGGGCGUAAAGGGCGCGUAGGCGGCUUUGCAAGUGACGGGUGAAAGCCCUCGGCUUAACCGAGGAACUGCCUGUCAGACUGUAAGGCUUGAGACCGGGAGAGGUGAGUGGAAUUCCCAGUGUAGCGGUGAAAUGCGUAGAUAUCAGGAGGAAUACCGGUGGCGAAAGCGACUCUCUGGACGGCAACUGACGCUGAGGCACGAAAGCGUGGGGAGCAAACAGG